rnacentral:rRNA from 1 species
GCUUGUCUCAAAGAUUAAGCCAUGCAUGUCUCAGUACAAGCCGAAUUAAGGUGAAACCGCGAAAGGCUCAUUAAAUCAGUUAUGGUUCCUUAGAUCGUACCCACAAUUACUUGGAUAACUGUGGUAAUUCUAGAGCUAAUACACGCAAACAGAGCUCCGACCGGAGACGGAAGGAGUGCUUUUAUUAGAUCAAAACCAAUCGGUGGCGGGCUCGUCAUCGUACAACUUGGUGACUCUGAAUAACUUUACGCUGAUCGCACGGUCACCGCACCGGCGACGCAUCUUUCAAAUGUCUGCCUUAUCAACUGUCGAUGGUAGGUUCUGCGCCUACCAUGGUCGUAACGGGUAACGGGGAAUCAGGGUUCGAUUCCGGAGAGGGAGCCUGAGAAACGGCUACCACAUCCAAGGAAGGCAGCAGGCGCGCAAAUUACCCACUCCCGGCACGGGGAGGUAGUGACGAAAAAUAACGAUACGGGACUCAUCCGAGGCCCCGUAAUCGGAAUGAGUACACUCUAAACCCUUUAACGAGGAUCAAUUGGAGGGCAAGUCUGGUGCCAGCAGCCGCGG